CGAGUAGGCGGUAAGGCAAGUCUGAGGUGGAAUCCCCGAGCUUAACUUGGGAAUUGCAUUCGAUACUGGGAAGCUAGAGUAUGGGAGAGGAUGGUAGAAUUCCAGGUGUAGCGGUGAAAUGCGUAGAGAUCUGGAGGAAUACCGAUGGCGAAGGCAGCCAUCUGGCCUAAUACUGACGCUGAGGUACGAAAGCAUGGGGAGCAAACAGGAUUAGAUACCCUGGUAGUCC
rnacentral:rRNA from 1 species